rnacentral:snRNA from 2 species
GUCCCUUCGGGGACAUCCGAUAAAAUUGGAACGAUACAGAUAAGAUUAGCAUGGUUCCUGCACAAAGAUGACACGCACAAAUCGAGAAAUGGUCCAAAUUUUU